rnacentral:rRNA from 1 species
GGUUAAGCGACUAAGCGUACACGGUGGAUGCCUAGGCAAUCAGAGGCGAUGAAGGACGUGCUAAUCUGCGAAAAGCGUCGGUAAGGUGAUAUGAACCGCUAUAACCGACGAUGUCCGAAUGGGGAAACCCAGUGCAAUUCGUUGCACUAUCGUUUGAUGAAUCCAUAGUCAAACGAGGCGAACCGAGGGAACUGAAACAUCUCAGUACCUCGAGGAAAAGAAAUCAACCGAGAUUCCCCUAGUAGCGGCGAGCGAACGGGGAGCAGCCCAGAGUCUUAAUCAGCAUCAGCAUCAGGAGAACGGUCUGGAAAGUCCGGCAGUAAAGGGUGAUAGCCCCGUAUCCGAAGGUGUUGGUGUUGUGAACUCGACGAGUAGGGCGGGACACGUGUUAUCCUGUCUGAAUAUGGGGGGACCAUCCUCCAAGGCUAAAUACUCCUGAUUGACCGAUAGUGAACCAGUACCGUGAGGGAAAGGCGAAAAGAACCCCGGCGAGGGGAGUGAAAUAGAACCUGAAACCGUGUACGUACAAGCAGUGGGAGC